rnacentral:rRNA from 1 species
UACGGGGGGUGCGAGCGUUGUCCGGAAUCACUGGGCGUAAAGGGCGCGUAGGUGGCAUGAUAAGGGUGUGGUGAAAGCCCGGGGCUCAACCCCGGGUCGGCCAUGCCGACUGUCAAGCUGGAGUACUGUAGGGGCAGGCGGAAUUCCGGGUGUAGCGGUGGAAUGCGUAGAGAUCUGGAAGAAUACCAACGGCGCAGGCAGCACCCUGGCUGAGGACUGACACUGAGGGACGAAAGCGUGGGGAGCGAACAGG